CGCCUGCUUUCCCGGAUGGUUUUUGCCACUUGUCAAAUUUUUCCUAUUCACUUUUCAUGUAGCGCAAGAUAGUAUCAAGUUUAGAAAUUGUCACUCUAUAAUAAACAAAAUGAUCUAGUCAUUCCGCUUUGUCAGGAAAAUAGGAAUUGUUUGUGACUUGGUGCCAAAAAUCGAGUGGUAAGCAGCACACGGACCGUGAAAAAGUGAGGAUGGUUUUCUGUGAAUUUUCAUGUGUCUGCCCAAUUAACAAACAGCAUAGUUUGCGAACGCGCGCUGUUUAAAGAUUGCCGGGAUAAGCACUUGUUGUUAUGUGCCUACGAUGACUUCCCGUCGCACCUGAGUCGCACGGCUCCCAACCGCCCCAGGGCGCCAUCCCGGCGAGAAUCAUCAAUUCCCAAAGGAAGUGAGAAAAAAACCAUUACGUUAAAAAAGGAUUGCAAGCUAUGAGCUGCAUUAUCGAUGGGAUUUGGAUGAAAGGCGUCAUUUGUAUCACGGAGUCAUUAUUUUGGACACGUCUUCCAGACAAAUGGCGUCUUUGAUAACACAAUCGGGAGAGACAUUCAGUGCACCGUGUCCUCUUCCGAAUUAUCAAAAAAACCAACAUUCCACAAUUUGUAACAUCUGGAGUGCGGGAUGGAUAUCGAUCGUACUUCAAUAGUGACGCCGGCAAGAUAAAAUGGCUCUUGGUUUUAAGCGCGUUAAUUAACGUUGGCCCUGGAAGGAAAUGCUAACAAUUUUUGUUGCAAAUAUUAUAAUCUCGAUUUUGCGAGCUGGCUGACCGAUUCUACGUCAUCGCGGCACCGCCGCUAGUAUCUUGAUAUGUGUGAAAGCAUGAAUGAUUACGACAGACUUCGCGAAGUAUGCGCAGACAUUCAACAGAGCAGACUUUCGACAUGUAUCCCGCAUACACGUUUGUAAAUAUAUAUUUGGAAGUUUUUGUCUGUCGCAAGUUUCUGUUUUUUGUAUGCGCAUACGCGAAGUAUGAAUAUACCUUAGCAAAGAAAAAAUAGCACCGGAAAUCUGGCAGUGACCGUGAUUUUCUUCGAUUGACCUUAUGGCCACCUUGUCAUAGGGCCAUCGCGGCAGCAGUGGUGACCAUCCAUUUCGCGAUAUCGAGGAGAAGUACGGAAUAGCGGAAAAUGGCGAUACCGAUUUGAUUCCUCGUAUAGAUCGCGUUAUUGACUAUCUGAAAAAUGAACUACGGAAAGAACUGAAGCUUAAGGAAGGCGCGGAGAUCCGCAGAGUGACCACUGGCACUGACCGCAGCAGCUCCACACAAGCUCGCAGCACGGUCAAGAAAGUCCACAUCAUUCUGUGUUGCUGGAAUUACAAAAAGACCUGAAUGAUCUUAAUAACUUUCGGUUGUUUGUGGUCGGUGGGAUUCAAAGCUUGAUGCGUCACCCCGUGUUAUGCCUCGACGAGAACAAACGCUGUCUCAGGGAGAUUCACUCGACAAUCAGCACGAGUCCGAUACCCACUUGGAGCAUAUUGCAGUUAGCGACAGCAUGCGAUGAUUGCUGAGCUUUUUCACAAGAUGGCAAUCGUUUUUCCGUUGUACAACGAAGAAGUUGCCACUGGACCAGACCAAAACAGUCGUUGUCGCGGCAGCUUCCGGCCAUCCAAUCGAAUCCCUACCACAAGGGACUAGCCCUGUAGUUAGGAUGGCGCCUCCUGGAACACAGGUGUUGUUAUUCCAGUGUGGGAUCAAUGUCCGCAAUGAAUUCGGCUAGGACAAUGAAUGGAUUGGGUGUUCAGUUUAACUUCAGGCGGUAAAUUUGCUACCGACUCAACACUAGUACUAGUACCGUCCCGUGAGAAAAAUCAGCUUUAUUUGUUUAUAUUUUUUUAACUGGAUUUGAAGUUAUUCAACGGCUCAUUUGUAUUUAAAAUUUGCUUUUCUGGUUCUCAUAGUUUAUAUGCAAUCCUGCCAUUCUGGCAUCCUUGUCAGCAGUUUGCAUCGUAACUUUUUUUCUUGCUCAUAAAAUAAUUCACAUGAUCGUACAGCAAUCAUAUCUGUACUUGUAUAGGCAUAAUAACUGUACUGUACAGAGUAGUGCUAUUGAUUUUGGCAGUUAAGAUAAAGCCGCUCUCUACGCAUGCAGAGUAAUUAUGCCCAACAGCUAUUGCAAACGUUUUGA